GCUGGGUGGUGACUCGUUUUUGUUUCUUCCAAUAAGUGUUUGUCAUAUGGAUGACAAAAACAUUUCUUUUGAAGGGACUGCUUCUCCACCCGACCACAGGGUUGGUUGUUUUGGUUUGCCUGAUGAGGAGACUGAGGUUGCCAGUAUACCUCUUGGUGGUGGGGUAGUGGAGAAGUCUGCCUCUGCUUCUUCUAUUGAACCUGGUCCACAACAGGUGAGAUUUUCCAGACUGGCUAAGAAAAAAUGGAGAAGGGUUAGGAGGGAAGGUGUUGAUACCAGUAGCUCUUAGCAACCAGAUCAUACUUCCCAACUGGCUCUGUCUGAUCCUCCUGUUAGUACUCCUGGUGCUGGCAAGUGGACCAGAUCUGCGGUUUCUACCCCCUCUUCUGGGGAGGGUACACCCGCAAAAAGGACUGUGCUCUCAGCCAAGUUUAUACUCUGAAGCAUUGACUGUCCUUU
rnacentral:lncRNA from 1 species